UCCCGUCGCAUGUGCGGGUUAUCGCAUGCACCUCCCUGUUGGACCUGGCCGGGCAUCUUGCCCGGCCUUUUUU
rfam:Ponticoccus sp. TMTAT08 contig000001, whole genome shotgun sequence.